rnacentral:rRNA from 1 species
GACGAACCGUGCGAACGUUAUUCGGAAUCACUGGGCUUAAAGCGCGUGUAGGCGGGACGGCACGUCGGUCGCUGAAAUCCCCCGGCUUAACCGGGAACUGGCGUCGAUACGACCGCCCUGGAGGGCGUAGGGGGACCUGGAACUUCCGGUGGAGCGGUGAAAUGCGUUGAGAUCGGAAGGAACGCCCGUGGCGAAAGCGAGGUCCUGGACGCCUACUGACGCUGAGACGCGAAAGCCAGGGGAGCGAACGGG